AAUCGUCAUCUUCUCUCUUCCGGAGAUGGGAGAUUCACAGAUUCAGAGAUGAGAGCCACUGUAUGUAUAGAUAUACAUUUGUGUGUAUUAUAUACAUAAUUUUAUUCACAGAUUCGGAGGAUGAGGAGAGCCCUAGCCUCCAAGAUAUACUCUGGAUUGAGAGCUCAGGGCAAUUACAACCUACCCAAGUAGCGUGACAACAACGAGCCAUCGAAAUCGAAGUUGGGUUGAUGUUUAUCAGAUUGAUACAGAGGAAUUAACGAUGUUGACAUGCCCAAUAGCCACUGCACCCACUUCGUCUUUCCUCUUUGCCAGCUGUUAGGUGAUGGAAUAUACAAGUGGGUGACAUGGAUUGCACAACUGGGAGACAACGCGUAUCUAACUUAAAAAGCAUUUUCUUUUUACUGUCAUUCCUUCUUUAAAUACUAUAAAUGCACACAUAUGUAUGCGUAUAAUGUAAUGGAUAGAAUGAAUUUAUUUAACGUGAAUAGAUCAAAUGGUUCCAUUUGAUUGAUAUUUGUUUGUGAGAUUUUAAUUCCCUUUGAAAGAUCAAUUGGAUUUGCAAAUGGAUCUUUUGAU